AUGGGGCCCGUCAGUCAGGCUGAUGUGGCACCGCUUAACACCUCGCAUGUAACGGCGAUGUUUGGGACGUUAUCCUCUUGUGUGGAGCCCUGCGGGGUCCACCUGUCACUGAAACAAAAAAUAAAAAAAUCUGGUUCUCGCCUUAUCUUCACCAGCUCGCUACCGCCCGUCCUGCCCCCGUGGUCAACGGCGCAUGCCCGAAGGCCCGCACCCGACGUGGUGCUCGAGCAAGGAGUCGCCGUCUCCUUCCUCAGCCACGGCGACCACCCUGCUCACUGGCUGCUGCAUCUCCUACGUCGAUGGCGGCUCGAGCGUAGAGGUAGCGGCACCAGCUGGAUUGGAGCGGGGAGAAUGGAUCUGAGUGUGGAAGUCGCCGGCGGCUCGGUUGCCGUCGCCCGUCCCGACCCCAACCGAGGCAAGGGCCGUCGUCGCUGUUUCCGCACCGAGGGGAGGCAGAGGACGCCGCCAGUCCCGCCCCCGGCCGAGGGGCAGCCUUCCGCCACGCGCCAAGGACGCCGUGCAUCGCCGGGGUUGCCGACCUCAUCCAAGUCCCGCCGUCGCUCGCGGCCGUCGCUCGCGGCCGUCGCUCGCGGCGGAGGAGCACGAAACCGAUGUAUAGAGAGGGCGGCGACUCAAUUCUUGCCGGAUCUGGGUGAGGGCUGGUUAACGGCGGUGAAUUUCGUGGAGCUCAAGGGCAAUGGUGAUGGGCGGCGCGGCGCUGCUGCAUGUUGCUGGCUCGGUGGCAGAGAGAUAAAUCAGGAUGAAAUGCUGACAAGUGGGCUCCAUGUCCAGUAA
rnacentral:rRNA from 1 species